rnacentral:rRNA from 1 species
AUGGCCACGGCGACGGCGGCGGCGGAAGGCCUUGUGCGCCAGAGAGCGACGGCGACGGCGACGGGGACGGCUUCGAAGGCGUGGACGAGGGCUUCGACGGCGUCGACAGCGACGGCGACGGCGUCAAACGCAACGGCGUGGACGGCGACGGCGUCGACCGCAACGGCGAUGCCGACGGCGAAGGCGGCGGCGGAAGGCCUUGGGCGCCAGAGAGCGAGCCCGGACCACCUCCCCGUGCCUCCCCGCCCCCGCUCCCGGUAUCGGCACCGCGCGGCGGUCCGGCCGCAUCCCCUGGCCGUGGGCACGCCGCCCCGCCCCGCCCCCGGGCUCCGGCAUGCUCAGGCGGAGCACCGUGCCCUUCCUCCUCCUCGCCCCCGCGCUCGUCCGGCACGUCCCUACAACGGCGGACUGUUUGCCGCUCUCCUCUACCUGUGCGUCGCGCUCGGAGUUGCCGUGGAUUCGUGCGGCUCGCUGCGGGCCUACGGAGGCCUCGCCGCGGUCGUCGCCGCCCUUAUCAUCGCCCUUGUGCUGAGGCGUCCGCCCCGAUUGGCCCAUCAGGACAACCCUGAUGGACCCCGCCAGAUCCUGGCGGCUCCGGCUCGGCGGAUUCAACCGGAGCAACCCCGCCUCGCUCUCACUCUCACCAUCACCGGGAGCAUCCUGGACGCUGCGCAGGUUGCUGCUGCCAUCCGCAGUUUCAUGGCAGACAGCACCCGUCCGAUCCUCGCCGUCAGCCCACCCCAAGCUGACUCCUCCGACUCCGACGGGAGCGGGUCAAGCACCAGCGGCGACGACAUCAAUAACUUGUGGUAUACUCCCCUCCACCUCUUGAAAUCAGGGGAUGUCUGUCUCAUCCACCCCGCCUUCAUCCAGCAGCUCCAGGAGAUGGAUCCAUGGUUAACCGAAGCUGAAUCCCUUGAAUUGCUUCAGAGAGCGUUCAGAGAUGCCAACACCUCUGAUGGAUUCAAAAGAUUGUCUGACAUAGUUGAGGAGAACCGAGGGAUUAUCUAUGACGGUCUUCAUGUGUUGACAGACGGAUCAACUGGGGCUUCUGUCAUGACGAUGAAAAUUACUGCAAAGCUUAUUGACUUGAUCUGUCUUGAAUUAGAUGGGCAGAACUGGAAGUCAUGUCAGGAUGUCAAAAAGGAAUGCUGCUUUCAAGAGGUUGUCAGGCAAUCUGUAGAGGAGCUCCUUGAUGUUGCACUUUCAUUCAGCAACACAAGGUGGUCUGCUCAUCAUCCAUUGCAAAUGCUAACCAUCUUAGAUGCACUUGUCGAUGUCCUAUGUACCAUAAGGGAAUUGACUUUCAGCAGUACUGAGUCCAUGCAUGAUGUGGUUGCUCAUGUUUUUUACAAGAUGGUGGUUGAUUUGAGGGGAAUGCUUGAGGGGACUACCAGUACCAGUGACAUGCAUCGCAUUCGAGAAUGUGCCAUCCAUCCAGCAACCGCUCUUCUUGUACGAUACCUGGAGUUUUUCUGUCGCAACGGGGACAUGAUGCAGUUUGUACUCGGCACCGAGGAUUUCACUAUUGAGCUUAGCAUGAUCUAUGCUUGGGUCUCCAAACUCAGCGAAGAUGCAGAAGCAAUGUUCCCAGCAAAGGGUCAAAGGUACAUAUACAUCUUGAAUAAUAUGGAUUUUGUUUAUCAACUGAAGAAUCAUCCCGGAGGAUGCCUUUCCAGCGUAGAACUGCAGACGGGUCUCUGUUCGCUGAUCCAUCAGUACAUACAGAGCUACCUUGAUGAAUGUUGGGUCCCACUUUUGGGUGUUGAUUCUCUCAAGAGAUUUCUUGAAGAGUUCUUUACCAUCUGUGAUAGCCAGAUGACAUGGAAAGUUCGUACUGUGCUCAAGGUGACACUGCGUCGGGAGAUUGUGGGAUUAAUUGUUCCAAAUUACGUGAACUUCUUACAGGAAAAUCCUAGUUCGCACCGGACUUCCUGGUUGAAGGCCAGAUCUGAGAAACCAAUGUAUAUUGCUGUGUGGUUGGAAGAGAAGAUCAGUGAAUUCUUUGAGAGAUAA